AAGACAAAUGUCUUCUGAUUGGUAUGGUGUUUUUUCUUCAUAGAGAUUCAUAACAAAGGCUCUUGAAUAAGUUACUCUGACAUACAUAAGACACAAAACUAAGAAUAAGGUUAAAUAACCAGGUUUUACAAUGAGAAUAAAUUAGCAGUGGACACCUCCUUAGAAUCUGAGGCAGAAUUUUUGGUGUUUGAUGCAGUGAUAACCAUAUGGAAAAGGGGUGAAUUGUGAAAGGACAUGAUUUUGAGGUGAUAAAGUAUUAUGCAAGCUAGACAAAUAUAAAGCUGACUGAGAAGAAAUCCAGAGAGAUCUCAAAGUACUGAAAGACUUUUCAAUAAAAACAACCAAAUUAAAUUUGACAAGUAUAAUACCAUGCAUGUAAGGUAAAAAUACCCUAAUUAGAGAUACAUAACAGGUGGUUCAUACUGUGAUAUCCAUUAUCUUUCAGGAAGAAGUCUGGAACUACUAAUGGUGAAAAAGCAAGAGAUAAAAAGAUUUGAAAUUACAAGGAAAAUGAAGAGAAAAAUAAUUCUCAUUAUGUUACUAUAUCAGCUUCUCUCAAUCCUCCUUUUGAAUGCUUGAUACAGUUCUAGUUAGAUAUUUUCAAAAGAAAUGAUAUAGAAUAAUAAUAUUAAAAAACUACAAAGAAGAGUCAGUUUUUCAGAUGAACAACAGCUUCAGUACAAUGGAGAUGAAAACAGACCAAGACUUUCCAAGCUUAGAGAAGAGAUGGUGGAGAAGGAUGUGUGAUAGGCUUUACAAGUCUUCAGAGGACUAUUUCUUAGGUGUACCAUCUGAAGGACCCAAGUAUAGAGGACAGAAGUAGCUGUUCAGGCAGGCUGAAGAGAACAGGUUCAGGUAAGCAAGAAAGAAAGGGAGAAUGAACCAGCCUUACUGAGAACAAAACUAAUGAACCAUGGUUUCCUGCAGAUGUUUUGAGUAUCCCUUUACCUUUCUUGCAGUAACAAACCCGAAUCUUAAAUCUACAUAAUCUUUGCAACAUCACUUCCACUGCAGUACCAGAAGCCUUUUUGUUUCUCCUGUUUACCAGCUCACUCCAGUGCCUUGUACUGCCGUCUGGGUAGGAAGGACUCACCUAAAUCACGUGGCUCCAGACCAUUAACAUGGCAAUCAGACAGCUCAAUCUGAGGGUCAGCAAUGACUGGCCAGCUAACAGGCAAAGCAAAGAAGGUCACUUACUGCAACUGCUCUUUCAAUGCUCGAUUAACUAUAGCUCUCUCCUGUCCAGCUGGUGAUUUUUGUAAGAUGUAAAACUUAAUUAAGAGACCCCCACACCCUUGUAACUAAAGUUGGCCAAUUGACAAAAUUAUUUGCACAGUACUGGUA
rnacentral:lncRNA from 1 species